GGAAAAAAGUUUGUUCCUGAUUCUCGAAAAGGACUUGUUCGCAUUGGAAGGGUAAACUGGUGUCUUUUGGUUUUUUUGUGUUAUAUAGAGUUCGUGCCUGUGUAAAGAUUUUUAGUUACUUCUGUUGUUUUGGUUUAUCUUAAGUACUAGAUAGUGUGUUUCUAGCAUCUUGUUUCCUGUUCGAAGUCGAAAUUUUUGAAUUGUUCCACGGUGAUGAGGGUUUGCUUCAUUUCUAGUGGCUUGAUAGGAAUUUGAAUGCUGUGGAAGAUGAUCAUAUUAUUUUUUUCUGAAGAGGCUGUUUUUGAGAAGGUUAAUCAAGCAUUGGGAAGAGUUUACAUCUUGAAAUUCAAUAUAGGUGAUCGAAAGUUUUUCAUUUAGAUGCAGUUCAGGUUCAUUUUCUAUGUUUUUCACUCUCUUAUGUGUAACAUUGACUCAGCUGUUAGUUGCAUGAUUUUGGAAAAUUGUCUAACAUGUUUGCAGGAGCCAAAAGCUAAAGAUGAUUCACAAUUGUGUAGCUCUAUCAACUAUUAUAUUAAUCGUCCAUUUGCACUCAUUCAAGAGUGAAGUUUUUCCAUCAGCAACGUCGCUGCUUUAUCUUAUUGCCUGGCAGAGUUCCUUGAUGAAGAAGAGCCUGAUGCUUCUAUUCCUUUCCAAGUUUUUGAAGACGUGCUUAAAGAUAAUAUCUCAUCAAGCUAUAUUUAUUAUAACAAAUAAGCAUACUUAAAGAUGAUACUUCAACUCUAAGAGUUGAUAUAGCAAGAGUGAGUAAGGAUAUAGGGCUAAGUAAUUUUUUGUUCUUUGAGACUAAGAGUCUGUGGAGCAGAAUGAGCCUCCCUUCUCUCCUUCUGGUCAAUCAUCUUGGAGAGCCUAUGUUCUUGCAUUGGAGAGCCUAUGUUCUUGCCUUGAUGAAGACUCCUAUCUUAUUUAUUCAAGAAAUAUCAAGAAAUUUUCCAAAAUCAUUUCUUGACAAAAACAUCUCAACCACCUUAGCCCAUGUCAAAUCCUUCAUCCCCUUAUGCUCUUGCACAGACUUGCCCUCGGGGUAAAUUUUAAAACUUGGGGCAUCUUUUAUAUGGAAAUUUAGAUUCAUAAAUUGGUGUUUGUCCAUGUAUAUACAAGUUUAAUGCUUGUAAUUCAUUGUAAAAUAACUUCAAAAAGGUUAAGGAGCACUUUUAUUAUCAAAAAGAAAUGGCCCAGUAUUACGUGGCCAUUUUCUUUUAUUCUGAUGAGAUUUUUGCUCAUAGCUCUCAAGACUGGAAACUUAGUUGUCCCAGACCUUGGUGCAGAAGUAAUGAAUGAUGUAAACUCUUCAUCAGAACCAGUGAAAUUGGAAGACUUGCAAAGAAUCCUGAGUAAUAUCUGUGUUAUGCUCAGAUAGUGCAAUUGACCAUAUCCUUGUUUGUUGUACUUAGGGUGGCCCGCGCCGUGAUGUGAUGAUAGAUGUUGCAGGUAGUUUGGCCGAUCCAGAUGAAGGCUUGGGAGUAGGGGAUAUACUGAAGCCUGAUUUGAUAAUGUCGUUGAUUGAGACAUUGCCGCUUGAAGAAGGAUUAACAUCUCACUUACCUGAGGUAUAUUAGCCUGAUUUGAUAAUGCUUAUUCUAUACGUACUGUAAGCUAUGAAAGAAUUGUACAACCUUUUUUUUUCUACUAAUUAUAUGUUUUCUUUUGUU